AUGGGAUAUGGGUUGGGCACUACAAGUCCCAGCAGCCCCAGGGCUCUUAAAAGGAAGUAGUAAGGUUGUGUUUGUUCUUUUCACUUCCGGGUUUUUGAUUUUGGGGAAAGGUGGCGUGGAAUGUAGAGUGGCAUGUAGGUAAGGAGAUUUGAGUGAUGCAUUCUUACUACUUUGUUAGUUUUAUCGAUUGCAUAAUGAAUUGAUGUUGUGGUAGAUGUUACUUUGGGGAUAUGAGCGCAGAUAAUCAUUGCCGCCAAAUACCGCGGGAGCGUUGCUGAGAACUGAGAAUAUGCUGUACCGACUAAUAUGGUGUGACUGGAUUAUUGCCUGACUGUGGCCUGACCAUCUUGUCGAAAUAGUGGAUGUGAAAGGGAUGCAUGGUUACCGUUUACUUUAUGGUUAAAAUAUUGUUUUGUUUCGUUUCUUUAUUACCUUUUGUUUGUAAGUGUGGAGAUCCGGAGUGGUAGAGAUUGAGGUACUAGUGAAUGUGUUUGGUUGUUGAUUUUAUGUUUGUGUACCUUGUAUUGCCCACUGUUAAUUGUGUUUUGUUUAGACGGCGGUGGUUAUCGGGUUGCCCUCACAGUGUGGAUGACAGUGGUAAGGUGGCUGGGAUUGUGUGGUGGUUUGGUCACUGUAUUUCUGUGUCUUCUGUAGGUUUGCAGUGUGAUUGCUGUGAGCUUGGCUGCUGUGAGAACACUUUGGCUUCUAGGCCCUUCUUUCACUUUCUUAGGCAACCUGUGGCCACCUAGGGCCAGUUUUCUUUUAUUUCUUUUUCUUUAUUUUGUGGGCAUUUACAUCCAAAAGGGUAUGUGAUAUGUUUUAACAUGUUUGACUUGUCUUUAAUAAAAAUGUAUUUGAUUCUUUAAAGUCACCUCAUGGCCCCUUCUUUUGGUUAUUGACACAGUGAUUGGUCAUCAUACCACAAUUGGCGUAGUCGGCAGGGUCUGUUUUUUUUUUUUUUGAGGUGGUUGUGAGGUGUUGCUUUAUUGGGUUUUUUUUUUGUGUAUUUCUUUUUGUUGUUUGUUAGUAAACGGUAACCGUGCAUGAAGACGAUCAUCGCAGACUCUGGUUCAUGGACUAUGGAUUUUAUUCAUGUCUGAAUUGCCUUCCUAAAUAAUUCGUCAACAGAUAUGGAGCAAGAACUAAUAGACUUGCGGGAGCAAGUACGGGACUUGCAAGCACAAAAUGAGGAGCUGAGGAGAGAGCUCCCCCCGCGCGGCAGCAGUGCUUCUAACCAACCUCACCCUUCUGUAAUUAAUGCCUCAUCUCCAGUGUCUUUUAAUAGGGU